rnacentral:pre_miRNA from 1 species
ACAACAUUCGGACCGUCGGUCUACCGAGCAAUAUGACUCGCUCUGUGAAAGAGAUCUUCCGCUGUCGU